rnacentral:sRNA from 1 species
AAAAAAACAACGAUGCCAUGAAAUACUCAGAGAAUUACACUAGCUAAUGAAUGGAUAGAUCAUACUUACGUUUGAUUCUUGAUUUUGAUUUUAAUUUUCCUCUGUUUGGGUGGAUGCCAUAAUUGAGAGAAUAGGGUUACAAUAUAUUGAUUAGGGUUUUCUAAUAAGAAUAAGAUAUAUAGGGUUUGGGUGAAAGACAUGAUUAUUUUA